GGUGCUGUAGCUCAGUGGCAGAGCACUUGCCUAGUAUGUAUGAGGCAAUGUGUUCAAUCCUCAGCACCA
rnacentral:tRNA from 1 species